GGGGGUUGUUUGAAGGCUGGUUAAACCGUUUGGUUUUCGACCACUACGACCCGGGUUCGAUUCCCGCAUUCGACA
rnacentral:tRNA from 1 species